rnacentral:rRNA from 1 species
UGGGGAAUUUUGGUCAAUGGGGGAAACCCUGAUCCAGCCAUCCCGCGUGUGCGAUGAAGGCCUUCGGGUUGUAAAGCACUUUUGGCAGGAAAGAAACGUCAUGGGUUAAUACCCCGUGAAACUGACGGUACCUGCAGAAUAAGCACCGGCUAACUACGUGCCAGCAGCCGCGGUAAUACGUAGGGUGCAAGCGUUAAUCGGAAUUACUGGGCGUAAAGCGUGCGCAGGCGGUUCGGAAAGAAAGAUGUGAAAUCCCAGAGCUCAACUUUAGAACUGCAUUUUUAACUACCGGGCUAGAGUGUGUCAGAGGGAGGAGGAAUUCCGCGUGUAGCAGUGAAAUGCGUAGAUAUGCGGAGGAACACCGAUGGCGAAGGCAGCCUCCUGGGAUAACACUGACGCUCAUGCACGAAAGCGUGGGGAGCAAACAGG